GCCCUCGUGGUGAAAUUGGUAGACACAAAGGACUUAAAAUCCUUGCCUUUUAGGAGUGCCAGUUCGAGUCUGGCCGAGGGCACCA
rnacentral:tRNA from 1 species